GCCAAGGGAGAAAAUUUUGAAGUCAUUAAGGAUUGGAAUGGACAAAUAAUUGAGGAAAUAGAAGGAAUUGAUAACCAUAAACGGUUGCAUUGGGAUUUCUGUGAUUCUGUCUGAUUUUCCUUUUAAUGGUUCUAGGAUGGAUGCGGUAACCAAGUUAAUGAAGAAACUUGAUAUCACACUUAGACUUUUUAUUCCUUAUUCCCGCUUAAUUUUGUAGUGCACUCUUUUAUAGUAGUU
rnacentral:misc_RNA from 1 species